rnacentral:rRNA from 1 species
UACGGAGGGUGCAAACGUUGCUCGGAAUCAUUGGGCGUAAAGCGCACGUAGGCGGCUCGUUAAGUCGGAUGUGAAAGCCCCGGGCUCAACUCGGGAAGUGCAUUCGAAACUGGCGAGCUUGAAUAUGGAAGAGGGUCGCGGAAUUCCCGGUGUAGAGGUGAAAUUCGUAGAUAUCGGGAGGAACACCAGUGGCGAAGGCGGCGACCUGGGCCAAUAUUGACGCUGAGGUGCGAAAGCGUGGGGAGCAAACAGG